AUUGAACGCUGGCGGCAUGCCUUACACAUGCAAGUCGAACGGCAGCACGGGAGCAAUCCUGGUGGCGAGUGGCGAACGGGUGAGUAAUAUAUCGGAACGUGCCCAGUAGUGGGGGAUAACUGCUCGAAAGAGCAGCUAAUACCGCAUACGACCUGAGGGAGAAAGGGGGGGAUCGCAAGACCUCUCGCUAUUGGAGCCGCCGAUAUCAGAUUAGCUAGUUGGUGGGGUAAAGGCCUACCAAGGCAACGAUCUGUAGUUGGUCUGAGAGGAAGACCAGCCACACUGGGACUGGGACACGGCCCAGACUCCUACGGGAGGCAGCAGUGGGGAAUUUUGGACAAUGGGCGCAGGCCUGAUCCAGCAAUGCCGCGUGCAGGAAGAAGGCCUUCGGGUUGUAAACUGCUUUUGUCAGGGAAGAAAUCCUCUAGGUUAAUACCCUUGGGGGGAUGACGGUACCUGAAGAAUAAGCACCGGCUAACUACGUGCCAGCAGCCGCCGUAAGAC
rnacentral:rRNA from 1 species